UGGAUGAUGUGGAUUAAUUCGAUGCAACGCGAAAACCUUACUACCUUGACAUGUCCGGAAUCCCGAAGAGAUUUGGGAGUGCUCGCAAGAGAGCCGGAACACAGGUGCUGCAUGGCUGUCGUCAGCUCGUGUCGUGAGAUGUUGGGUUAAGUCCCGCAACGAGCGCAACCCUUGUCAUUAGUUGCCAUCAUUUGGUUGGGCACUCUAAUGAGACUGCCGGUGACAAACCGGAGGAAGGUGGGGAUGACGUCAAGUCCUCAUGGCCCUUAUGGGUAGGGCUUCACACGUCAUACAAUGGUCGGUACAGAGGGUUGCCAACCCGCGAGGGGGAGCUAAUCCCACAAAGCCGAUCGUAGUCCGGAUCGCAGUCUGCAACUCGACUGCGUGAAGUCGGAAUCGCUAGUAAUCGUGGAUCAGCAUGUCACGGUGAAUACGUUCCCGGGUCUU
rnacentral:rRNA from 1 species